CCUUCGAUAGCUCAUUUGGUAAGGCGGGGGAAUGUAGAUUUAUAAUUGAUCCCUAGGUCGCUGGUUCGAAUCCGGCUCGAAGGA
rnacentral:tRNA from 1 species